rnacentral:rRNA from 1 species
GAUGAACGCUGGCGGCGUGCUUAACACAUGCAAGUCGAGCGGAAUAAUUUAAAAGCUUGCUUUUAAAUUAUUUAGCGGCGGACGGGUGAGUAACGUGUGGGUAACCUGCCUCAUACAGAGGGAUAAUCAUGUGAAAACGUGACUAAUACCUCAUGUCAUUUUUGGAAGGCAUCUUCCGAAAAGAAAAGGAGCAAUCCGGUAUGAGAUGGACCCGCAUCUGAUUAGCUAGUUGGUGAGAUAAUAGCCCACCAAGGCAACGAUCAGUAGCCGACCUGAGAGGGUGAUCGGCCACAUUGGGACUGAGACACGGCCCAAACUCCUACGGGAGGCAGCAGUGGGGAAUAUUGCACAAUGGGGGAAACCCUGAUGCAGCAACGCCGCGUGAAGGAAGACGGUUUUCGGAUUGUAAACUUCUAUCAAUAGGGACGAAAAAAAUGACGGUACCUAAAUAAGAAGCCCCGGCUAACUACGUG